rnacentral:pre_miRNA from 1 species
UCUCUUAGGGCUUGAUUCAAAGCUCAUUAAAAUCAGUGGGAGUUUUUCUAUUGACUUCAAUGGGCUUUGGAUCAGGCCCUUAACCU